rnacentral:rRNA from 1 species
GAUGAACGCUGGCGGCGUGCCUAACACAUGCAAGUCGAACGGAGUCGUUUUGGAAAUCUCUUCGGAGAUGGAAUUCUCGACUUAGUGGCGGACGGGUGAGUAACGCGUGAGCAAUCUGCCUUUAAGAGGGGGAUAACAGUCGGAAACGGCUGCUAAUACCGCAUAAAGCAUUAAAUUCGCAUGUUUUUGAUGCCAAAGGAGCAAUCCGCUUUUAGAUGAGCUCGCGUCUGAUUAGCUGGUUGGCGGGGUAACGGCCCACCAAGGCGACGAUCAGUAGCCGGACUGAGAGGUUGAACGGCCACAUUGGGACUGAGACACGGCCCAGACUCCUACGGGAGGCAGCAGUGGGGAAUAUUGCGCAAUGGGGGAAACCCUGACGCAGCAACGCCGCGUGAUUGAAGAAGGCCUUCGGGUUGUAAAGAUCUUUAAUCAGGGA